UAAACCAACUCUAAUUUCUUAAUAGAGAAAUCUCAUUUUGUUUUCCCUGUUCUUCUAUUUCUUUUCUUUCUUCUCACCAAAUUUCAUCUACUGAUUUACACGACAAUCUCAAGCAAGAGGAUCCUUUGGCUUUUAAGCAACCCGCUCCAUUUUCAGCUGACAGUCGUCUUGCAAAGAGUUUGGAGCUAGCUUGAUGCGGUAAGCUGAAAAGGGCUUACUGCGAGGAGCUACGGACACAAUGUGGUACAUAUUGUUGUCAUUGUAUACAUAUAUAUCAUGGAAUGAUUUGGGUAAUUUUCAUUUCAUGCUUUGCUGCGUGUAUAUAGGCUAUGGUCUCCUUUUUGGAUGUAUAUGGGACAAUAUUCUUUUUCAGACGUCCAUAUACAUUAUAAUCCUUAAAAAAUCUACUGCUAAGUUAUGGCUUCAUUUUCAUUUCUUCUUGGUUGUUUUUCUCGUUUUUGCUGUCUAUUUAAUGGGUGAAUCAUUGAAGUGUAUUAAAUAACUCUCAUGUAACGAGAUGUCUUUAAUUAAAGUCUGCAGUAGUAGAAAUUGAUGUUAAAGUAAUAUUUAUAAGAAUGAAUUUUUGAUUUGGGAAUUAGCCCGUUGUUUUUCUUAAAAUUUCAAGGCAAAAUCUAAGACCUUGUUCUCUUGUUAAGUCACUAUUAUACUGGUAUUGUAACUAGUCUCUAUAAACUCUCUGUUUAAGAAAAUAUGGAUUUAAUUUUUUUCUUCCUCUAUUUUACGCUUCACCCAUUAUCAAACUUUGUAUAAUAUGUAUCGUUUUUUUUUCAUUUUCGAGUGGCGCGACCGGGGUUUGGCCUUGCUGGACGGGUUGAAAUCCAACCCGUUAGAAGAAAAAAUUUAUCGGUCCGUUACAGUUUGGUAUCAGAGCAGUUCCGAUCUAUUCGGACUGUGAGUUUUGGACUUGCUGGUUUUCCGAUAUUGUGUAUUUGAUUUUAAGCUAUGAAUAAAUUUUUUAAAUUUGUAUUGUCCGUCGAGUUUCUUUCGGGUUUUAGUAAUCGAAACAAAAUAUUUUAUGAGACGAAUAGUUCAUCGAUUUUCUGUUGUUUUUGGGGUUGGGAAAAAUAGUACGGAGCCAUGAUAUAUAUGUAUAUAGCUUGUUGUGAGUCCCAGUCUCCUCCUAAGCUCAAUGACUGUUGUCAGUAAGGUGUAUUUUAGUAUAUAUUCUUAUCUUUUGAAGAUGUUUCAAAGUGUGAGUUUGGAAACCCCAAUAACAGCCGGAAUGGUAAGGUACUAUACUUACCAAAACCAAGCACGUCAAAGCAAAGUUUGUGCAAGGAAAGGAUGCACUACUUGUGGAGUUGGAAUCGUAUUUAUAGCUGGUGAGAUGGUUAUCGUCAACUCGUAUUGCCUAAGCUUGAUAUUUGUAUAAUCUUCUUAGCUUCAUCUGUUCUUGUGGGUGAAAUAUUAGAUAAACUGACCAUGAUAAGAUGUUUUAAUCUCCCUUGUUUCUAUCCGAAACUUAAGUUUACCCACUGUGACGUACUUGAACUUUUUUUAUAGUGUUUACUAUUUGCGCUCCAACUUCGACUAAACUAUGGUUGUAGUGACUGUGAAAUAAGAUGUCCUUUAUUUAUUUAUUUUUUCGGUA